rnacentral:pre_miRNA from 1 species
UCAAAAGGAAUGGCUUUAAAGGGGAGGAGAAGAAUCUUCUCAAAUUCCAGCCCCACCAGCCCAGUGUUCAGACUACCUGUCCAGGAAAUUGCAAAUGUGUACAGUAGUCUGCACAUUGGUUAGGCUGGGCUUGGAAAAGCAUCGACUCAG